UACGAAGGGGGCUAGCGUUGUUCGGAAUCACUGGGCGUAAAGCGCAUGCAGGCGGAUCAUUAAGUCGGGGGUGAAAUCCCGAGGCUCAACCUCGGAACUGCCUUCGAUACUGAUGAUCUUGAGUCCGGGAGAGGUGAGUGGAACUCCGAGUGUAGAGGUGAAAUUCGUAGAUAUUCGGAAGAACACCAGUGGCGAAGGCGGCUCACUGGCCCGGUACUGACGCUGAGAUGCGAAAGCGUGGGGAGCAAACAGG
rnacentral:rRNA from 1 species